GACGAACGCUGGCGGCGUGCUUAACACAUGCAAGUCGAACGGUGAGGCGCUUUCCUUUUUGGUGGGGUGGGAGGGGGGGCGAAGGGGGGAGCAAAAGGUGAGUAACCUGCCCCUUCUUUCGGAAUAACCGCAUAAAGGGGGGGCUAAUAGGGGAUAUCUUGGGCCGUUCGCUUGAGGGGUCUGGGAAGGUUUUUGUUUCGGUGGGGGAUGGGCUCGCGGCCUAUCAGCUUGUUGGUGGGGGGAUGGCCUACCAAGGCGGUGACGGGUAGCCGGCCUGAGAGGGUGGACGGUCACACUGGGACUGAGACACGGCCAAGACUCCUACGGGAGGCAGCAGUGGGGAAUAUGGCACAAUGGGCGCAAGCCUGAUGCAGCGACGCCGCGUGAGGGAUGGAGGCCUUCGGGUUGUGAACCUCUUUCGCCAGUGAAGCAGGCCUGCCUCGUUUGUGGGUGGGUUGACGGUAGCUGGAUAAGAAGCGCCGGCUAACUACGUG
rnacentral:rRNA from 1 species